UAACAAAAAGAGCAACUCUAGCCUUCACCGUCUCCACGAUCUGAAACCUAAACAGCAAUAGAUCUUCCUUUGGUCAAGAUUCACCCAUUUCUUCUCUUGCAACAACAGCAUAUUGGUCCCCUUCCUCUGCUGACCUUCUUACCAUCCUGGUACUGUAAUAUCGGAUCUAAUCAGCUCCAGUUAAUGGCAGAUUCAGUUUUACGACUCAUAAAAUUGAUAGGGACUUUUACGAUUCACACUAAAUAGAGGUUGCUAUAAUUGGUGGCAUCUGCUUACAAUUUUCUAUUAUUUACUGAUUUUUCCUACAGAUUAGAGGAAGCCGUAAGCAAUCCGUUGUGGUCCUUUGAAAAAUGCUUCACAUGUUCAUCCGAAUUAUCUGUUUGUGUGCUAUUCUUCUUCUUCUUCUUCAUUGAUUUAUGGUUCUCUGUAUGUGUGUAGGGUAGUUUUGGCACCGUUAACGAGACUGAGAUCAUACAAUUGUGUGGCACAACCACAUGCCAUUUUGUAUUACUCCCAGAGAGCAGCAAAAGGUGGCUUUUUGAUCGCAGAAGCCUCUUUAAUUUCGGAUACAGCUACAGGAGGCCCAAACAUGCCUGGGAUUUGGACGAAAGAAUAUGUGGAGGCAUGGAAGCCAGUUGUGGAUGUUGUUCAUGAGAAAGGAGGCAUUUUCUUUUGCCAGCUUUUCCAUGCUGUCAGAGUCUCUAACUAUGAUUAUCAACCUAAUGGUCAACCUCCAAUCUCAUGUACCGACAAGGCGAUAAUCAGCAAAGUCCACAUUGGUGGCUCUGGAGGAGCAGAAUUCUCACCUCCGCAUCAGUUAUCAGUUGAAGAAAUAUCACAAGUUAUCAAUGACUUCAGUAUUGCAGCAAAGAAAGCUAUUGAA